GGUUAAAGGCCGGCUGGCUGCAAUGGCUGAGAAUUUUUUUUUUUACUUUUUAAAAAGUUUUAUAGUGUGAAUAUGGAUAGUGAGGAAGAGAAAGAGGAGUUGAGUUCCGAGGGAGGUGGGUGGGUGAGGGGCGUCAAGUACAAGUGGGGUGAGCAGUACUCCAGUAGCUCUGAAGGUGCUGUUGAGAGCUGUUGAAUCGGUGAAGGUAACCCAAAGUGGAUUUGUGAUCAUUUGCGACGCAGACAAGAUGGCCGGUGGUGGCUGGUCUACUCCAGGAGUCUGAGGUGCGGGAGGUUCCUCCGCCCCCUCUGGGCAUCGAGUGGGCCCCGGCGUAAGCUGUUCGAGCCAUACAGGACUCGAGGCGUCGGGCGAGGAGCCUUCAGUACGGUCCGGGGGAGAGAUGCUGGGUGCCGGUGGAGGACGUUUUGGACCCUUCGUUGCUGCGGAAGUUCCCC
ensembl:lncRNA